UCUCGGUUUACACCGGCAGUUUCGUUAGAGUCCCCGGCUUGACCCGCUGGCAACUAACGAUAAGGGUUGCGCUCGUUAUGGGACUUAACCCGACACCUCACGGCACGAGCUGACGACAACCAUGCAGCACCUUGAAGAGAGUCCCGUAGGAAAGAGCUGUUUCCAACUCAUGCACUCUCCAUUUAAGCCCAGGUAAGGUUCCUCGCGUAUCAUCGAAUUAAACCACAUGUUCCACCGCUUGUGCGGGCCCCCGUCAAUUCCUUUGAGUUUCAACCUUGCGGCCGUACUCCCCAGGUGGAUCACUUAACGCUUUCGCUUAGUCGCUGACUGUGUAUCGCCAACAACGAGUGAUCAUCGUUUACAGCGUGGACUAC
rnacentral:misc_RNA from 1 species